GACCGCCAGUGAAAAUUGAUUUUCACUGGCGGUCGGCGUAAUAAAACCGCCAGUGAAAAUCGAUUUUCACUGGCGGUC
rnacentral:pre_miRNA from 7 species